UACGUAGGGGGCAAGCGUUGUCCGGAAUCAUUGGGCGUAAAGAGCGUGUAGGCGGCUCGAUAAGUCUGCUGUGAAAGUCCAGGGCUCAACCCUGGAAGGCCGGUGGAAACUGUCGGGCUAGAGUCCGGAAGAGGCGAGUGGAAUUCCCGGUGUAGCGGUGAAAUGCGCAGAUAUCAGGAGGAACACCGGUGGCGAAGGCGGAUCUCUGGGCCGUAACUGACGCUGAGGAGCGAAAGCAUGGGGAGCGAACAGG
rnacentral:rRNA from 1 species